UACAGGGGGUGCAAACGUUGCUCGGAAUCAUUGGGCGUAAAGCGCACGUAGGCGGUUCGUUAUGUCGGAUGUGAAAGCCCUUGGCUUAACCGAGGAAGUGCAUCCGAAACUGGCGAGCUAGAGUACGAAAGAGGAUCGCGGAAUUCCCGGUGUAGAGGUGAAAUUCGUAGAUAUUAGGAAGAACACCGGUGGCGAAGGCGGCCAUCUGGCUCGGUACUGACGCUGAUGCGCGAAAGCGUGGGGAGCAAACAGG
rnacentral:rRNA from 1 species